UAGGGAAUCUUCCGCAAUGGGCGAAAGCCUGACGGAGCAACGCCGCGUGAGUGAUGAAGGUCUUCGGAUCGUAAAACUCUGUUGUUAGGGAAGAACAAAUGUGUAAGUAACUAUGCACGUCUUGACGGUACCUAAUCAGAAAGCCACGGCUAACUACGUGCCAGCAGCCGCGGUAAUACGUAGGUGGCAAGCGUUAUCCGGAAUUAUUGGGCGUACAGCGCGCGUAGGCGGUUUUUUAAGUCUGAUGUGAAAGCCCACGGCUCAACCGUGGAGGGUCAUUGGAAACUGGAAAACUUGGGUGCAGAAGAGGAAAGUGGAAUUCCAUGUGUAGCGGUGAAAUGCGCAGAGAUAUGGAGGAACACCAGUGGCGAAGGCGACUUUCUGGUCUGUAACUGACGCUGAUGUGCGAAAGCGUGGGGAUCAAACAGG
rnacentral:rRNA from 1 species